GAGACGUGAGGAAGUUACGAAGAAAGAAAAAAAAAGAGAGUUGCUAGAGAGAGACAGAGGAAGGAAAAUCAAGCAUUUUCAUUGAGAUUUCUUCCGUUCAGUCUGGUAGAAACGUAAUCUGAGGCGUUCUAGCAAAAAAACCUCAACUUCUGGAGGUUUUGGCACGAGAGCCGAGACAACGAGAAAGAACUUCUAGCAAGCGGGAAUCCUAGCGGAUUACUUGGAAGUAUAGACAUAUAUGUUUGUCUGGACUCAAGUAACAAAGGUAAGCAGCCA